CAAUAGAAACAUUGCCGCGUGAUUAUGGGGAAAUGUGCAAGACAAAAAUAGUCGCUUCCUCUCUCGAGCAUCGACUGACCAUUUGCCAAAAGCAGCUUGUGGGCCAAGACUCAAUAUAACCUGAAAUCGUCUCGAGUCGCGUCAACAACCAAUACGGAGCUUUCGGUCUUCCUUUCCUCACUCCUCACAGUCAGAGAACCACUGAACCGCCGGACGCGUUUCCAUUCCACCACCACCACCACCACCACCGGGAAGGGGGAGGGGCGUUCAGAUGUCUUUGUUUAUUGGCAAUCUAUCAGCUCGCACCCGCGGAGAUGAUCUUCAGCGUGUCUUUAGGAAGUUUGGACAAUGUAUGUUAAAUCUGAAAGAUCGCUAUGGGUUUGUAGUAUAUGAUUUCCCGCAAGAUGCUGAGAAUGCUUUAAGAGCACUACAGGGUAGGAAUAUCUGUGGGGAGCCUUUAAUACUAACAUGGUCAAAAAAGCAGCCUAUACCUUUCCAGGGACAUCAAAGAGUUGUUAGAUCCUACGCGUUACAUCAUGGGAGGCAUUCUGCCAGGAGGGGAGGUUUUGCUAGUAGGAGAAUGAGUUCAAAUGACCCGAGAGAUUACAGAUCAGAUAUAAAUCAACCAGAUACUGAUGGUGAAAAGCUUAGUUCUGUGUAUAUGCUCAAUGGAGGCAGAGGUGACCCUAACAAAUAUGCUAAUGAUGAUAGUAGAGAACAUCAUGAUUUGACCGAAGGUCUGCCGGUUGAUGGUGUUGCCAAACUGGUGGACACUGCCAAUCGGAUUGAUAAUGAGGUGGAAUUUGACAGAUAUGAACCUUGCCAAAGUCAUGAAGGGGAAGAUGAACAUGAAAACUGUCAGAUGGCAUAUUCUGGUUGUGGUUCUGUUCCACAAAGACCUCAAGAGAAUGCAAGGACAGUGAAGAUCACUGACACUACUUUGAACCGUUUUAAUGAUUUAAAGUCGCAGAAUGGUUGCUUCAGCUGUGGGGAUUUGGGACACAAGAUCCGUGACUGUCCCAGAAAAUACUCAUCCGGAAGAAAGCCUAAAAGGUUUGACCAUAGGCAGCAUGAUGCCAUUGGUAAAAUUGGUAGUGGUGAAGCUGAGCUAGAAAGAUUUGGAUCCAUCUCACUGGAGAAGCUGCGGUUGAAUAAGGAUAGUGCUUCUGGGCACAGGAAGAGUAUGAGGGCAAGUGAUUCAGGAAAGAGUAAGGCAACUGACAGGACUCAAAUGAAGGAUCGUGGAGGAAAGAAGAGAAGUAGAUGGGAAGGCGAAUCUCCAAAAAGGCAUAGUCCUAAGAAAGCAAGGUCAGUUUUAUCACCACCUCAUUCUGAUUACCCUGCAUCCAAGUCUUGUGCAGCUUCUCAAUCAUCAGAGUCUGUGUCAAGGUGUAGUAGUUCCAGAGCUAGGUCACAAUCAGUAUUUAUGAGGGCACAGUCUUUGUCAUCUGACUCAAGAUCCAGCUCAAAAUUGAUAAGGUCCAAGUCUAGGUCAAGGUCAAGCUCCUUUACUUCGUCGUCUGAAUCACUAAGCCGAUCAUCAUAUAAGGCACAUGUAGAUCUUAAAUGCCCUGUGUCUAAAACUGAAACUCCCAAAUCCAAGGAGAUUCUGCUUGAAAAGAGACAGCCAAUAGGAGGUGAUGCCCAGAGGGUUCAAAAUCCAGGUUCUGAUGCUGCUGGGUGUUCGUCUGCACAGGGUUCAAAAGAGAAGGUUGAUCCAGAAAAUUCUGGUGGACUGGUUGUGGGAGAAACUCAUUUGAAGGACCCAGCUUCAGAAAUGCAUGUCAGUUAUUGCAAUGGCAAUUCAACAUGCAUAUCCUCAGAGGAAAUGUGCAUGGUUUUGAAGCACUAUGGCAUGGAACUUCCGGAAGAAAGUGAAAGGCAUUUACCGAUAGAGGAGUAUCUUGGUUCUGCUCGCCUUUGGCCAUGGGAGAUCAUCUAUUACAGGAGGCUGAAAAAAGGCCUCGUUUCAGUUGAGAACUAUGCCAGGCGAGUUUCUCAGAACCAAGAGUUUGGCAUCAUUGAUAAGUACGUCCGAAGUAGUAGUGGAUGGGGAGAAAUAGAUGAGGAAAACCCUUGCAAGGUAAACCAUUAAAGUGCCAAGUUAUUUUUGUUAACGUAGGUAGUACUUGACAGCUCUCUAUCUUGGAACUUCACAAGCUGCAACUGAAGUGGAUUUCUCAUGAAGUUUUUGAACAGGUUUUGGAAGGGGAUGAUAACAGAUUUGGAAUUUCAUUCUUCCUGAUCUAAUGUGGCUCUCUCUAUUACUUAUGUUUCCCUAUUAGUAAUGAUGCCCUCAAACCGCCGACUGUUAUGUCUAAAAUUGUACUGAAUGUUGGUCGUGUACACUCUGCUUGUAAUAUUUUUUUCCCCGUUGACGUUCCUAGGUAUGCUUUGGUUUAGAAUAUUAGACAUGUCAUUUUAGGGGACAUUAAUAUGCCUGCUGGCUGCCGUAUUAAAUGUAACCAAAUCUUAUGUACCCUCAUAAGAUAAAAAAGAUACAUUUCAAAGCCAUUUAAUGUAACCCAGUCUAAAACCAAGUCCAAUUUGUAACACUAAACAGCAACCAAGCCCAUUUCCAGAUUUUUUUUUUUGGGAUGAAGAGGGAAUGAGGGAUAUACCUCAAAAACUAAUGAAGAUGAUCGCUACUGAUCUGUUUGGUGAGAAAUGAAGAGUGCUUUGUGUACAGGCUUCAGAGGAGAGGUGAGAUCAUUCUAUAUCCCUAGUAAAGUCCUAUCCACAUUUCUAGAUACAUCUGAUGAUAUUGGUUCAUCUCUGUAAUGUUGGUUCAUUGAAGAUUGAAAGAGUGUUGGUAAAUCUUUCUUUUGCACUAUUUGCGUUUUUCUUUUGCUUGUGUUACUUUUUACUGAAAGUUUGACUCAUAGCAGAUCACAUUCAAAACAAUUGAUCUCUCCCUCUUGCUUUAUAUAUAGUUUCUUCUGAUCUGUGUUUAUUUAACACUACUCUUUCCAACCGGUCAGCGUUUUUAUUGGUUUGCAUCAAUUGCAGCCUUGUGCUCCCCUUGGCCCAAAACUUAAAUUGCAUUGAGGGCUUACCAUCCGGACGUGUACUCGUGCCUCUCAAUUUACUUUUUACAUGCUUAUGCCAACUCAUGGAAUGGCCUACAGAGAUCAAUUCCUGUUUCAUUUCAUGGUGAACUUUUUGCCAAAUUUUAUUUUUUCUUGAAGCUUGACAUAUUCUGAAAUUGUAUGUGUUGCUAGUAUUUGAGAAGUAAGAACUUUGUUUUGUAUUAUUAAGUUUUGAAAAG